AACCUACUAGCUCAAUAAGUAGAGCUUUUGUGUGAAUGCACAAAGGACGUGGGUUCGAAUCCCACGUAGGCUC
rfam:Spinacia oleracea cultivar SynViroflay scaffold7310.con0010.1, whole genome shotgun sequence.